AAAAGAGUCAGAGAAGGAGCGUGGGGGAUGUGGCUCUGUCCAUAGAGUGCUUGCUUGCCCAGCACGCAUGGCGUUCUGAGUUUGAUUCCUAGGACUGCCUAAAUGGUGAUCAGCUGUGGAGCUCAGACAUAAGCCCGUUAGAGCAUGCAACGUGGUCACGUGACACGGUUUGGACCAAUGAGAUGGGGAGAGCUGUUUAUUGUGGGUUCCUGGAUCUGGUUGACCUGAAGAACUCCUUUGCUUCCUCUGACGUGAUCUGACUUGACAUCGCCAAGACUUCAUCAGCUGCCCCCUCACCAACCCCACAACCCCAGCGUGGAACUGACCCCUAAGAGGCUGAGCUACGGUCACUCUCCAGCAGCAAGGGAGGAUGGGAAAACUGGGAGCUGACUGGAGGAAGCCGGCCCGCACAUAUGGCAUGGUUUGAAUGAACGACGUCUACUGUAGAGGGUCCUCCCUCAUCAGUCUGUUGAGAGCCAUCUUGAGGUCCCAGCUGGACAUUCAAGUCAAAGGUUCUGGAUGGUAGGGCUUGGGUUGCCACUGAGUGCACAGCAGGUCCCCUUCUGAGGACAGAGAAGACACUUGCCCCACAGUGACUCAGACUUGGUGCUGGGGCUCCGCCCUGCUUCUAUCACACAUGUGUGUGCAGUGGGGGAACUGAUUUCCC
rnacentral:lncRNA from 1 species